rnacentral:rRNA from 1 species
GAUACCUACGGGACGCAGCAGUGAGGAAUAUUGGUCAAUGGGCGGAAGCCUGAACCAGCCAAAUCGCGUGAGGGAAUAAGGCCCUACGGGUCGUAAACCUCUUUUGCCGGGGAGCAAGGGCCGGGACGAGUCCCGGUCCGGAGAGUACCCGGAGAAAAAGCAUCGGCUAACUCCGUGCCAGCAGCCGCGGUAAUACGGAGGAUGCGAGCGUUAUCCGGAUUUAUUGGGUUUAAAGGGUGCGUAGGCGGGCUUUUAAGUCAGUGGUAAAAAUUCGGGGCUCAACCCCGGCCGGCCGUUGAAACUGG